rnacentral:rRNA from 1 species
AGAGUUUGAUCCUGGCUCAGGACGAACGCUGGCGGCGUGCCUAAUACAUGCAAGUCGAGCGAAUGACGAGAAGCUUGCUUCUCUGAUUUAGCGGCGGACGGGUGAGUAACACGUGGGCAACCUGCCCUACAGAUUGGGAUAACUCAGGGAAACCUGGGCUAAUACCGAAUAAUCCUUCGAAUCACAUGUUUUGAAGUUGAAAGGCGCUUCGGCGUCACUGUAGGAUGGGCCCGCGGUGCAUUAGCUAGUUGGUGGGGUAACGGCCUACCAAGGCAACGAUGCAUAGCCGACCUGAGAGGGUGAUCGGCCACAUUGGGACUGAGACACGGCCCAAACUCCUACGGGAGGCAGCAGUAGGGAAUCUUCCACAAUGGACGAAAGUCUGAUGGAGCAACGCCGCGUGAGUGAUGAAGGUUUUCGGAUCGUAAAACUCUGUUGUAAGGGAAGAACAAGUACGUUAGGAAAUGAACGUACCUUGACGGUACCUUAUUAGAAAGCCACGGCUAACUACGUGCCAGCAGCCGCGGUAAUACGUAGGUGGCAAGCGUUGUCCGGAUUUAUUGGGCGUAAAGCGCGCGCAGGUGGUUUCUUAAGUCUGAUGUGAAAGCCCACGGCUCAACCGUGGAGGGUCAUUGGAAACUGGGGAACUUGAGUGCAGAAGAGGAUAGUGGAAUUCCAAGUGUAGCGGUGAAAUGCGUAGAGAUUUGGAGGAACACCAGUGGCGAAGGCGACUGUC